GUGUCAGCAGCCGCGGUAAUACGGGGGGUGCGAGCGUUGUCCGGAUUCACUGGGCGUAAAGGGCGCGUAGGCGGCCGGGUCAGUCGGGCCUGUAAGUGCGGGGCUUAACCCCGUGAUGGGCCCGGGACGGCACGGCUGGGGCGCGGUCGAGGGAGACGGAAUGCCGGGUGUAGUGGUGAAAUGCGUAGAGAUCCGGCGGAACACCGGUGGUGAAGACGGUCUCCUGGGCCGAGGGCCGACGCUGAGGCGCGAGAGCGUGGGGAGCGAACCGGAUUAGAUACCCUGGUAGUCC
rnacentral:rRNA from 1 species